GAUGAACGCUGGCGGCGUGCUUAACACAUGCAAGUCGAACGGAAAGGCUCCUGCUUGCAGGGGUACUCGAGUGGCGAACGGGUGAGUAACACGUGGGUGAUCUGCCCUGCACUUCGGGAUAAGCCUGGGAAACUGGGUCUAAUACCGGAUAGGACGAUGGUUUGGAUGCCAUUGUGGAAAGUUUUUUCGGUGUGGGAUGAGCUCGCGGCCUAUCAGCUUGUUGGUGGGGUAAUGGCCUACCAAGGCGUCGACGGGUAGCCGGCCUGAGAGGGUGUACGGCCACAUUGGGACGGAGAUACGGCCCAGACUCCUACGGGAGGCAGCAGUGGGGAAUAUUGCACAAUGGGCGCAAGCCUGAUGCAGCGACGCCGCGUGGGGGAUGACGGCCUUCGGGUUGUAAACUCCUUUCGCUAGGGACGAAGCGCAAGUGACGGUACCUGGAGAAGAAGCACCGGCUAACUACGUG
rnacentral:rRNA from 1 species